AGAUUGAACGCUGGCGGCAUGCUUUACACAUGCAAGUCGAACGGUAACAGGCCGCAAGGUGCUGACGAGUGGCGAACGGGUGAGUAAUGCAUCGGAACGUGCCCAGUCGUGGGGGAUAACGCAGCGAAGGCUGUGCUAAUACCGCAUACGAUCUAUGGAUAGAAAGGCGGGGGAACCGAAGGCCUCGGCGCGAGUUGGAGCGGCCGAUGUCAGAUUAGCUAGGUUGGUAGGGUAAACGGCCCAACCAAGGCGACGAUCUGUAGCUGGUCUGGAAGAGGACGACCAGCCACUACUGGAACU
rnacentral:rRNA from 1 species